AAAAAAUAGAAAAUAUAUUACUCAAGAAGGAUUAACCAACAAAAGUUGAGUACAAAAGUUUGGGGGAGCAUUAUAAUAUCAAAGAAGUAAGCAUUUCUAGCAAUACCAUGAGACGCCAUAUUUGCUUGUCUUUUGAUCCACACAAGAGAAAUCAGAUCUUUGACUAAGGAGCCAUCUACGGACUACAAUAAUUAAUGUCACAA
rnacentral:misc_RNA from 1 species